rnacentral:rRNA from 1 species
GAUAAACGCUGGCGGCGCACAUAAGACAUGCAAGUUGAACGGACUAAAUCGAAAUAUUUCUAUUUUGAAGCGGUUAGUGGCGGACUGGUGAGUAACGCGUAAGGAACCUGCCUAUUAGAGGGGAAUAACAGUGAGAAAUCAUUGCUAAUACCGCAUAUGCCAUAGAUAUCACAUGAUAACAGUGGGAAAGGAGCAAUCCGCUAAUAGAUGGCCUUGCGUCUGAUUAGAUAGUUGGUGGGGUAACGGCCUACCAAGUCGACGAUCAGUAGCCGGACUGAGAGGUUGAACGGCCACAUUGGGACUGAGAUACGGCCCAGACUCCUACGGGAGGCAGCAGUCGGGAAUAUUGCGCAAUGGAGGAAACUCUGACGCAGUGACGCAGCGUAUAGGAAGAAGGUUUUCGGAUUGUAAACUAUUGUCGUUAGGAAAGAGAAAGGACAGUACCUAAGGAGGAAGCUCCGGCUAACUACGUG